rnacentral:tRNA from 1 species
GCCGAUUUAGCACAGUUGGUAGUGCAGCUGAUUUGUAAUCAGCAGGUCGUCAGUUCAAGUCUGACAAUCGGCUCCA